GACGAACCGUGCGAACGUUGUUCGGAAUCACUGGGCUUAAAGGGCGCGUAGGCGGGCCGGCCGGUCCGGGGUGAAAGCCCCCAGCUCAACUGGGGAAGCGCCUUGGAUACCGCCGGCCUGGAGGGAGGUAGGGGCGUGCGGAACUUCCGGUGGAGCGGUGAAAUGCGUAGAUAUCGGAAGGAACACCGGUGGCGAAAGCGGCGCGCUGGACCUCUUCUGACGCUGAGGCGCGAAAGCCAGGGGAGCAAACGGG
rnacentral:rRNA from 1 species